GAGUUUGAUCCUAGCUCAGGGUGAACGCUGGUAACGUGGAUACCGGCAUGCAAGUCGAGCGGACCGCAAGGUCAGCGGCGAACGGCAUAGUAACACGUGGGUACAUACCCCAAAGUGGAGGACAGCUCGUCGAAAGACGGGGUAAUACUCCAUAGCCUCGCAAGAGUAAAGUCUCACGACGCUUUGGGAAUGGCCUGCGGCCUAUCAGGUAGUUGGCGGUGUAAUAGACCACCAAGCCUAUGACGGGUAGGGGGCGUGAGAGCGCGACCCCCAUGAAUGGCACUGCGACACGGGCCAUACUCCUACGGGAGGCUGCAGUCGAGAAUCUUCCGCAAUGGACGAAAGUCUGACGGAGCGACGUUACGUGAAUGAUGAAGCCCUUCGGGGUGUAAAGUUCUUUUUUCUGGGAAGAAGUUAUUGACUGUACCAGAAGAAUAAGGAGAUCCUAAUUCUGUGCCAGCAGGAGCGGUAAUACAGAAUCUCCGAGCGUUACCCGGAUUUAUUGGGCGUAAAGGGUCCGUAGGUGGCGUAGUAAGUUGAAAGUUAAAAUUCAUCGGCUCAACCUUUGAAGUGCUUUCAAUACUGCUACACUAGAGGGCGUUAGGGGUGAACGGAACCGACAGAGUAGGGGUGAAAUCCGUUGAUAUUGUCGGGAACACCAAAAGCGAAGGCAGUUCACUAGGACGACCCUGACACUGAGGGACGAAAGCGUGGGGAGCAAAAAGGAUUAGAUAAAUCCUUGAGCAAUUUUUAUAAUUGCUCUAAAUGGUGUCCUCUAUAUUGGUGACAAUAUGGAAGCAUCCAGCUAUAUCGGGGAAACCCAUUUUAAAAAUGGAUAAUCCCGAGGGAAGUAUAAGAACUAAUUUUUGUAAUUUUAGUUGCCUUUGCGCUCGUAGCGCAAAGGCGAUGUAGUCAACCAAUCGGGAAGAAACACACGAGAAGGAAGGAGUAGUUUAUGUCAAAGUCAAAGUCAAAGGCGAAGUCUUGCAACCACAAGUUCCAGAUUUUCACGGUAUUCAGAGUUCCGAGCGACAGGGAUGCAUACCACGAAAGAUGUUCGACAAUAGCUCAAUUCCAAAAUCGUAGGUAAGUAAAAAGAAAACUUCUCGACGAGGCAAGAGAAGAACUUAAACAAGACUAUGCAGGAUGUGAAAUACUCUUUGGACCAAUGUUGGUCCUUCUGGUAUAGUUUCCCCUCAACGACUAUGUGCUAAGGCGAAAAUUGAAAUCAGGCGGGCAUGCAAAAUGCCUCUACCCGCAAUUUUUUUCAAAAUUACAAAAAUUAGUUCUUAUACCCCGUAGAGACUAUCCCUAAAGGGAGUACUAAAAUAUUUUAAGAUAUUUUAGGAAACGCUGGAUUUCUGAAAAAUUAUUUUCAGAAAAUGAUAUAGUCCGAUCCUCCGAGUAAUCGGAGAAACAAAAAAAUCUACAAGAAGACCCUUGUAGUCCACGCUGUAAACGAUGAUUACUGGCUAUUAGCAGUGUCGACCCUGCUAGUGGCGAAGCAAACGCGUUAAGUAAUCCGCC
rnacentral:ncRNA from 1 species